rnacentral:misc_RNA from 1 species
GACAACCAAUCACAGCAGACGAGUGAGUCCGACUGAUCACGAACAAUGAACAAAGUGUCGACGGUCUAGGCCGAUGGAUUCCGUAAAUAUCCGAAUUUUCACGACAAGUUUACGCAACUACGAUACACGUACUAACGUAGCAAACGAUAAUAGGGCUAGUAUUCUGAGAAGCAUAGUAUGAGGAGCAGUUCUUGGAAAGGUACAAAUUAAGGGAAAGAAAAAUAGACAAAGGAAAACAUUGGUGAAUCAGAAUAAUCCCAUAAAUAUUUUGAUCGACAAGAGGCACAGGCAAUCAACGUGGGCGCAAGUUAUCGACAAUUUUCAUUUACGUUGAACGAAAUGCGGUGGCCGAUGGUUACCGCGGAAAUAUCGAACGAAAAGUUUGCCUCUGGUUUUUGCAUCCUGUCUCUAAUAUAAUUGGAGCCUGGGGAAACGAGAUCGACGAGGACCGCCUGUACGAAACAAGAUCGAAAAUUGGAGAAAGAGAUAAAAGAAACAGACCAGCUGGGUUUUCGAUACGACUCGAACGCAGCGCGACUGUGAUUUCUAUAAAAUCACGCUGCCCGAAGGCAGCUGUAGUUUUAGAAUAAUUAUAAUUACAGUAUCGAAAUCCAACAUGCUUGCAAAAUCUAUGAAGUUACGAUUGUAAUACUGAUAAAAGCUAAGGUAGUUAUAGUUGCAUUACUGACAGAAACCAACUUAGUCUCACGUAGAGCAUAAUUGUUAAAACAUGUUAUGGAAAACUGUACAAUAUCGCAGUAUUAUACAACAGGUUACUGUACAGCGAUAUAUAACUACCCAUAACAAGUUCUCCGUCAUCCAAAAUAAAAUGAGCACGAUCGAAAGCUUAUAACUCGUGCCAUUAAUAAGAAGAACGGGGUUAUAACUCAAACAACAUUUAAAAGUCCAUCGAUUACCCAUCGAUUAUCCAGAAAGAGAAAAAAAAAAGAAAACUGCAUGAUAGAAGCAUCCAAUAAAGAACGUUUCGAAGCGCAAAAUGCGCUUUAAAUUUUGACAAAUUUGUCACGGGUGUCGCUCGAAAAUUAAAUUAAACCAUUCUAGUUUAGAACACCGGUUUAUAUUAAGCAACUUUUUUCUUCAGUCCAACCAGCUUCUACCGCGUCGUUCGAUGUAAAAUGACCACUUUUUAAUGAGCACACGGCACAUCCACGCCACGACAAAUUACCAUGAGACCAAAGGAGAAAGAAGAAUGACGUUGACGACGUUUUCAACGUGACGCUUUGAUAGCCGCCGGUUCUUGCGAUUCUCAGAACGGCCAGUUGCUGAACCUUUUCUUGGAAAUCAGUUUACGUUACAUAUUACGUAGCGGGCUCGUUGUUUCGACUUAUUAUGUCAUCAUAAAAAUGUAUCGCAUCUUGAUCAGUACGGGAACGUAGCACCUUGCCUUGGUUGGUCCUACCAAUUACACAGUUCCGUUGUUAGAAACUGUUAUUCCUUGCACGAACAUAUCUCUUUUUGUUGUGGAAAUUUCGUGUCAGUUUCCGCUUAAUCUCGAAUUAGAUUUUUUGGGAAUAUAAGAAUUCUUGUUUAAUUCUAAUAUAUUAUUUU